CGAGGUAUUCCUCGAGGCAUGCCUGUUUGAGCGUCGGCCCCCCUCUAACCCGCCCGGUUAGGUGUUGACACGAAAUCCCAAGCGCAAUCAAUCUCAUGUUUUUGAUGACGCCCACCCAUUUCGCCCUCAAAUCAGGUAGGACUACCCGCUGAACUUAAGCAUAUCAAUAAGCGGAGGAAAAGAAACCAACAGGGAUUGCCUCAGUAACGGCGAGUGAAGCGGCAAAAGCUCAAAUUUGAAAUCCUGCGGGAGUUGUAAUUUGAAGGUUGCGGGUCCUGAGGCUGUGCGCGCCCAAGUCCAUUGGAACAUGGCGCCUGGGAGGGUGAGAGCCCCGUCCGGCGCAGCGCAGUCUUUUUUGCGGCCCGUUUCCGACGAGUCGAGUUGUUUGGGAAUGCAGCUCAAAGUGGGUGGUAAAUUCCAUCUAAAGCUAAAUAUUGGCGAGAGACCGAUAGCGAACAAGUACAGUGAUGGAAAGAUGAAAAGCACUUUGAAAAGAGAGUGAAACAGUACGUGAAAUUGUUGAAAGGGAAGGGCUUGCAAGCAGACACGGUUUCGGCCGGGCCAGCAUCGGUUUGCCGGGGCGGACAAUGCGGCGGGAAUGUGGCGCGCCUCCUUGUGGGGCGCGUGUUUAUAGCCCGCCGAGAUACGCCCAUGGCAGACCGAGGCCUGCGAUCCAAUCUAGGAUGCUGGCGUAAUGGUUGCAAGCCGCCCGUCUUGAAACACGGACCAAGGAGUCUAACGUCUAUGCGAGUGUUUGGGUGGAUAAAACCCCA
rnacentral:rRNA from 1 species